AAUAANGAUUUCCNNCAUGGCCCUNNNGGNAAUAUUNCACAAUGGACGCAAGUCUGAUGGAGCAACGCCGCGUGAGUGAAGAAGGCUUUCGGGUCGUAAAACUCUGUUGUUGGAGAAGAAUGGUCGGCAGAGUAACUGUUGUCGGCGUGACGGUAUCCAACCAGAAAGCCACGGCUAACUACGUGCCAGCAGCCGCGGUAAUAA
rnacentral:rRNA from 1 species